UGCCAGCAGCCGCGGUAACACGAAGGGGGCUAGCGUUGUUCGGAAUCACUGGGCGUAAAGCGCACGUAGGCUGACUGGUCAGUUGGGGGUGAAAUCCCGGGGCUCAACCCCGGAACUGCCUUCAAUACUGCCAGUCUUGAGUCCGAGAGAGGUGAGUGGAAUUCCUAGUGUAGAGGUGAAAUUCGUAGAUAUUAGGAAGAACACCAGUGGCGAAGGCGGCUUUCUGGACCAAUACUGACGCUGAGAUGCGAAAGCGUGGGGAGCGAACAGGAUUAGAUA
rnacentral:rRNA from 1 species